UACGUAGGGACCGAGCGUUGUCCGGAUUCAUUGGGCGUAAAGAGCUCGUAGGCGGCCACUCAAGUCGAAUGUGAAACCUCGAGGCUCAACCUCGAGCCUGCAUUCGAUACUGGGCGGCUAGAGUCUGGUAGGGGGAUCUGGAAUUCCUGGUGUAGCGGUGGAAUGCGCAGAUAUCAGGAGGAACACCGGUGGCGAAGGCGGAUCUCUGGGCCUGUCCUGACGCUGAGGCGCGAAAGCUAGGGGAGCGAACAGG
rnacentral:rRNA from 1 species